rnacentral:lncRNA from 1 species
UUCUGUGAUGUGGUAAUUCAAGGUUCAAAGACUCUCAAGCUGACCUCUUCAAGGCCAUGGCACCCUGCACGUUAGUCUGAAUCCUCUUCUGAUAUAUUGCAAGUAUUUAAGUAACAUACAUUAUGCAGCCAUACAAGGAAGACUAAAAGAAGAAAAUCCAGGAUACUAUGUGAAGAAUGAAGUUUUGAUUCAGAACAGCCGAUUCAAACCAGGUUCACUGGGGCUGUGGCUCGUUACCUGAAAAGCUCUCAAGAAUAACAAAUAUUCUUGUCACAUGGCGGAACAAUUGAGUCACAGUUUCUGGAGGCAGCAUCCCGACACAAGAGCAAAGUCUGGCCCAGCACUGCUAUCCGCUCCGUCUUUGGUUCUUUCUUCUUCUUUUAUUUGAUAUUUUACUUUUUGUUUUGCCUUGAGACAGUUUCUUUAUGUUGUGUAGGCUCGCGUAAUGAUCCUUCCACCUGAACUUCCUUAGUCUGGGUCUGUAGCUGCCCCAGCAUGCAGCAUGGUAUCCCAUCCCUAAACAGUGAAGCAAUCAUCAAUCAAUCAAUCAAUCAAUCAAUGAGGUGGCAUCAUGAGAGUGUCAAGACAGGGGUGAAAGAUCUGGAGAAGAGCCAGAAGUGAGUUUGUUCUAGAGUCACCACAGUGAGCAGAAGAGAAAAAAGACCCUUAUUCCAUGGUUAGAGGACACAGCCUUGUUGAAAUGCUGCCUGUGCACAAGCUGAGAAGACCCACUGUCACUUGCCAAUGGCUUCAGCAUAUGCCAAGAUUUGAGAUGUGAGCUGGAAAGGCUUAUGUAGCAUGGGUGCUCCUGGAGAGUUGCAGUCUGGAAGGCAGGCCAGCAGGGCUCCACCCAAGGGAGAGCACGGGACUCACUUGGACACCUGUAGGAAAUCCAGGACCUAGACUCCACCCCAGCCCCACUGACUCAGAGGAGCAUCCAGACAGGAUCCUCAGCUAGUCCACUAGCCUGAACCAGUGGGUCUCAAGCAGGCUGAGCGUGAGACACACCAGAAGAAUGUAGAAGCUGUAGGGAUGCUCAUGUUGUACCUUCCACCUCUUAACUCAGUGUGCUCUAUCGCACCUUUCAAAUGCCAGUCUGCCCUAACCCACCCUGGUUAUUCUAAUGCAAAGAUGCUCAA